rnacentral:rRNA from 1 species
GGCACUAACAAUACAUAGUUGCUCGCCAAACAACUACGAGUGAAAACUUAAAACUUAAAAGACUUGACGGUACUUCACCCAACCUAGAGGAGCCUGUCCACUAACCGAUAAUCCACGAUUAACCCAACCACUUCUGGCCACCCAGCCUAUAUACCGCCGUCGCCAGCCUACCUUGUGAAAGAAACCUAGUAGACAAAAUAGUAUUUCACUAACACGACAGGUCGAGGUGUAGCUUAUGAAGCGGACAGGAUGGGCUACAUUUUCUAACACAGACAAAACGUACAAAAUUAUGAAACUAAUUCAAAAGGCGGAUUUAGCAGUAAGCUAAGAACAUAAUACUAAGCUGAAACCAAUGCAAUGAAGUGCGUACACACCGCCGGUCACCCUCCA